ACCACUCGUCUUCCGAAAAAAUUAUCAACAUAGCAGAAUAGAAACGGUUCCAUUGAAAAUGUACCCAAGUUUUACUGUUGUUUUGUUCCUAUACCAGUUAGAGAUAACAUUAGUUAUAAAUCCUAUGAAUCUCACGCACACAAUCAACUACUCUCCCAUUUUUCUCAAAAACCUUUGCACCAUAUUCCCAUCCUUAAUCCCUGAAAUUUCUUACUAAUCUUCAUCUCUACUUGAAAACAAUAAUAAACACCACCAUUCUCAAACCUUUGAUUUUUGCAAGUUCAUUUAGAACCUCAGUCUCAAACACAUCCUUUCAUCUAUUCCAUUCACACUAAUUCCUAAUUUUAAAACUAUAACUUUGUUUCCUUCAAUCCAUGCCAUUGAACUAUUAAAGAAACCCUCAUCAGUUCUUCAUAACCCCUAACCAUGAGAAAUUCUUUAAUGAUCAAGAUCGUUAAACACCAUGCCUUUUCUAUGUCACUUCCCCCAUUGGUAGGAUUCUUCUCUUCCUUUUAAUGUUGAAUCUUAAAUGAUAUUUUCCUUUUUACUAAAACAAUGGCUAUCAUCAGUGGAUAUUUUACCAUUCUUGAGGCUGGUAGUGUACCCAAGAAACUCGAUCCAUCCACCAACACAUCAUUUUGUCUUUGGUUAUUCAUGACUUAAGUAAGACUCUUAUUUUCUUUUUAUGGAUUUCGAUUUCCUUUUCAACUAGUGUUCCUAACUUCGUUGACUAGAUACUUGUUUGAAAGUUCUGUUUUCUAUGUUGUCAAAAUAUAACUAGGAGGCUCAAUCCUUGCCAAAAGCCAUCUUGUGUCAUUGAUCUACCUUUCUUAGACAUGUUAGUAGUUAUGAAGAAACAAAGCCGUGGUGGGAGGAGCCAGUCAAAGGAACCAAGGAUUUUGCCAGUCAAGCAUGCCAAGGUAAGGGGGUGAGCGAUAUCGAUCUGAAAUCAUAGACAUAGUGUUUGCAGGACGAGCAGGGACAGUUUAAUUGCCUAUUUUGUCCGGGGCAAAGCUAAUUAUCAAAUCCCAUUGAAAGUAAUUAAUGAACUAAAUGAUUAAACAACUAAGUGAGCUUAAAAUAAAAUUAGAAAUGAUAUUAAGGUGAUGUGUGCUUUACUUUUUCCCUCACUAUGCAAUUAAAUUUUAUUCUCGAAUACAUGGAUAUGUGAAUUACCUGAAGUCCUUGCUAAGUGAGGCAAAUCAAAUGUUUUGUUGUUAGUUAUGAUUUCGCUGUGAGUUUCUAAUUAAUGCAUUUGUGACUAUUUGUUACGAAUUGUCUCCAGUUAUCAGUAAACCGUUGUGUACUUUUUCAUGUCACUUA